rnacentral:rRNA from 1 species
CCUACGGGUGGCAGCAGUGAGGAAUAUUGGUCAAUGCGCGUAAGCCUGAACCAGCCAAGUCGCGUGAGGGAUGAAGGCUCUAUGGAUCGUAAACCUCUUUUAUAAGGGAAUAAAGUGCGGUACGUGUCCUGUUUUGUAUGUACCUUAUGAAUAAGGAUUGGCUAACUCCGUGCCAGCAGCCGCGGUAAUACGGAGGAUCCGAGCGUUAUCCGGAUUUAUUGGGUUUAAAGGGUGCGUAGGCGGCCUUGUAAGUUAGCGGUGAAAGUCUAUGGCUCAACCAUAGAAUUGCCGUUGAAACUGGGAGGCUUGAGUAUGAUUGAGGCAGGCGGAAUGCGUGGUGUAGCGGUGAAAUGCUUAGAUAUCACGCAGAAUCCCGAUUGCGAAGGCAGCCUGCCAAGCGAUGACUGACGCUGAUGCACGAAAGCGUGGGGAUCAAACAGGAUUAGAUACCCCUGUAGUC